UGGCUCUCUGUGAAUCUUGCUUCCU
rnacentral:piRNA from 1 species